UUGAGGGGGGGUUGAUAAGAUUCCCGGGACUUUUUCAUCAUCGCAACCACCCUACAAGCGGAACUAGUUACAGAUGGGCACCCUCCAUGCGCUGGCCUCCCCCUCCCCACCAACUCCCCAGUCCUCCAGUCAGGCCACAAGGCAGAGGUGGGGUGGGCCUUCCAUCACACCUCUUAUUUAUUCUGUUGAUUUCUACACCUGAUUCCCCAGUGGCCACAGGAGUUCUGGACCUUGUGGGCACCCGUGGAGACUAGGGUUGCGUGCCUAAGCCCUGCCAGCAUUGGGCCUAAAGGAGUUCUGACCCCCCACAGGCCCUUUCCUGUUGACUGUCAGAUCCCGAGGAAUGGGACAGAUUAAGAUGCCCAAACCAGCCUGUUGGGUUAGAAAAGCAGCAUCCACACCAAAUGCCAACACAAAGCAGUCCGUACUGAUCAGCUCUAGUCUGCCCCUUGAAGGGGCCACAGCCCACACCUCAUUCCCCCCCUGGCCCACAGCACCUUCAGGGCUCCAAGCUGCCCAGAGCAGGGGGCAGCCUCCCAACACAGCCUCCACAAGCUGGAGGUUCAGGACCUUCCCUCCCUCGUCUCCUUUUAUCACCUACUAAGGACUCUCAUUUAGACAUGGCUUCACCCUGCAAACUACAUCAGCAGUUUAUAGGUUACUAGGGGGAAGCAGAUAUAUAUAUAUAUAAAGAAUAAAACAAGGGGUGUGGGGGGGGAGUGACAGCAGCUUGGUAGGUAUGGUAAGCAGCGGAACAGGCAACACAGGCCCCUAACUAACUUGGGGCAGGGCAGCGAGAGGGCCGGGCCCACUUAGCGUGGUGGCUGGUGCUGUGGGGUCAGAGGCAGAAGCUUCGUGGGCUGGGGGAGGGGGAAGAGGAAUAAUGUCAGUUUCUUUGGGGUUUGGUCCAAAAAAA